rnacentral:tRNA from 1 species
GCCCUCGUCGUUCAAUGGAUAGGACACAAGCUUGCGGAGUUUGUGAUAGGGGUUCGAUUCCUCUCGAGGGCG